UCCCCUAGUAACUGCGAGUGAAGCGGGAAAAGCUCAAAUUUAAAAUCUGGCGGUUUCACCGUCCGAGUUGUAAUCUGGAGAAGCAUUUUCCGCGUUGGACCGUGUACAAGUCUCUUGGAAUAGAGCGUCAUAGAGGGUGAGAAUCCCGUCCAUGACACGGACUACCAAUGCUUUGUGAUAUGCUCUCAAAGAGUCGAGUUGUUUGGGAAUGCAGCUCAAAAUGGGUGGUAAAUUCCAUCUAAAGCUAAAUAUUGGCGAGAGACCGAUAGCGAACAAGUACCGUGAGGGAAAGAUGAAAAGCACUUUGGAAAGAGAGUUAAACAGUACGUGAAAUUGUUGAAAGGGAAACGCUUGAAGUCAGUCGCAUUGUCCAGGACUCAGCCUUGCUCUUUUGCUUGGUGUACUUCCUGGUUGAUGGGUCAACAUCGAUUUUGGUUGGUGGAUAAGGGUUGAGAGAAGGUGGCAUCUUCGGAUGUGUUAUAGCUCUCUUCCGCAUACACUGACUGGGAUUGAGGUCUGCAGCACGCCUUUAUUGGCCGGGGUUCGCCCACGUAACGUGCUUAGGAUGUUGGCAUAAUGGCUUUAAGCGACCCGUCUUGAAACACGGACCAAGGAGUCUAACAUGCCUGCGAGUGUUAGAGUGGAAAACUCUUGCGCGUAAUGAAAGUGAAAGUUGAGACCCUUUACUGGGGCACCAACGCCCGGCCCUGAAGUUUACUGACGGUGCUGCGGUAGAGCAUGUAUGUUGGGACCCGAAAGAUGGUGAACUAUGCCUGAAUAGGGUGAAGCCAGGGGAAACUCUGGUGGAGGCUCGUAGCGAUUCUGACGUGCAAAUCGAUCGUCAAAUUUGGG
rnacentral:rRNA from 1 species